rnacentral:piRNA from 1 species
UGUAAAUUGCUGAAGUGCUCAGCUGGAUUC